AUUGAACGCUGGCGGCAGGCCUAACACAUGCAAGUCGAACGAUUGGCGGACGGGUGAGUAAUGUCUGGGAAACUGCCUGAUGGAGGGGGAUCACUACUGGAAACGGUAGCGAAAACCGUAUACCAUAAGAUGUGCCCAGGGGGGAUUAGCUUGGUGGUGGGGUAACGGCUCACAAGGGCGACGAUCCGUAGCUGGUCUGACAGGAUGACCAGCCACACUGGAACUGAGACUCGGUCCCGACUCCUACGGGAGGCAGCAGUGGGGAAUAUUGGACAAUGGGCGAAAGCCUGAUCCAGCCAUGCCGCGUGUGUGAAGAAGGUCUUCGGAUUGUAAAGCACUUUAAGUUGGGAGGCGUUACCAACAGAAUAAGCACCGGCUAACUUCGUGCCAGCAGCCGCGGUAAUUC
rnacentral:rRNA from 1 species